GGCCCGGAGUUGGGCCGGGACGGGAUCCGGGAGGCUUCUGAGCCGGAGCAGGCAGCGCCUGGAGGCCAGAGGCCGUUCGCCCGCCUCAGGCCGGUCGGCCGCCGCUCCCCUCCCCUGCGCCCUGUUCCCGGCAGGGCCAGAGAGGCCGCCGCCUCCGCCCGGUGGUUCUCGGGCGAAGGGAAGCCGCGAAGCAGGUCCUGGGGAAGAGCUCGCCUGCUCCUGAGGGAAGCAGCGAUAAGAUGGCGCUUUGAAGGGGAGCCGAGGCCGAGUCACUCUGUUCGUCGGGACGCCGCCUUUCUAACGCCGCCGUCGGCUCGCACCACUCUGGGCCUGCUGCCCACACUGACUGCGGGGUCCGGGAGAGCGGGAUGCUGGCCGGCCGCGCCUGGCUUCUUGGAAAGAGCAGGAAGGAGCGCGAGAAUGCAGUUCCGCGGCAGGUGCUCAUCCCAGCAGCUUCGGGCUCUCGGUUGUGGUUUUUACACCUAUGACAAAUGACAUGGCCAAACACACCAUAAUGUCUGAAGAAACCUCUGUAGAGGAGCAGGAUGCAACCGACAGGCUGUGGCCGGACAGCUGCUGCCCAGCACAUGGAGCCUGCACGCGCACGGUUUGGCCAAAGAAGCCCCCAUACUCCCGGUGAAAAAGAUUUCCAGAAGCUGUUCUGUCAAUAACAAAGUCUCAAAGAAAACCACAAAACCACCAACACUAAGAUCAUUCUUGAGUCCAAUUUGAAAAACUAGGGUCAAGUUCUGCAGAGGCAUUGAAAGGACAAGAAACCACCCUGAUACCCAUCGUGUGAGGGAAAAUGCUCUAUUCACCAUUCCUCAGCUUCUGCUUCUGGUUUCAGAGUUCUCUCUAUAUUGGAGGGUGUUUUAAAGCUAGAGUGGUCUUUAUCCACUUUUAUUAACACAUCUGAAUGUGAAGGUCAAGAGAGGAAAGUGAUAUGUCCUAAGUCAGAGUAGAGUCAACAAGAAAAUAAGACAAACAGCGACUGAGCCCCUGGUGUAUACUGGGCAUUGGCCAGCUACUGGGGAUAUGGAGAUGAAGAAAACAUAACCCUUCUUCAAGGAGCCCAACCUACCAAGGUAGACAGACAUAUAGACAAAUAGAUACUUGCAUAGAAAAAAAGAGGAAAAGGGGAUCAGUGUGACCUGUGUAACUAAGUACCCUAUAAACCCUCCUGCAACAGAUCAUAUUGCCCUUUAUAGUGGGGAUGGUAAUCCCAUCUGAAUUCCACAGGUACUUUGCAGUCAUACCACACCCAUGUGUCUGUCGGUCCUGACUGUACCAUUUAUAAACAGCUUCACUUUCAGCAGUUCUCAGCCCUCUUAAGCUAGGGUCAUUGUCAGUAGGGAUACUGCUUCAUAAGCACCAGCAGAACACCAAAGGAGACCAUAUGGGUGAAAGCAACCAGCACUG
rnacentral:lncRNA from 10 species